rnacentral:rRNA from 1 species
UACGUAGGGUGCAAGCGUUAAUCGGAAUUACUGGGCGUAAAGCGUGCGCAGGCGGUUUUGUAAGUCUGUCGUGAAAUCCCCGGGCUCAACCUGGGAAUUGCGAUGGAGACUGCAAGGCUAGAAUCUGGCAGAGGGGUAGAAUUCCACGUGUAGCAGUGAAAUGCGUAGAGAUGUGGAGGAAUACCGAUGGCGAAAGGCAGCCCUCCUGGGCCAACACUGACGCUCAUGCCACGAAAAGCGUGGGGGAG